GACGAACGCUGGCGGCGUGCUUAACACAUGCAAGUCGAACGGAAAGGCCCCUUUGGGGGUACUCGAGUGGCGAACGGGUGAGUAACACGUGAGUAACCUGCCCUUGACUUCGGGAUAACUUCAGGAAACUGGGGCUAAUACCGGAUAGGAAUCCUUGCUGCAUGGUGGGGGUUGGAAAGCUUCGGCGGUUUUGGAUGGACUCGCGGCUUAUCAGCUUGUUGGUGGGGUAGUGGCUUACCAAGGCUUUGACGGGUAGCCGGCCUGAGAGGGCGACCGGCCACAUUGGGACUGAGAUACGGCCCAGACUCCUACGGGAGGCAGCAGUGGGGAAUAUUGCACAAUGGGCGGAAGCCUGAUGCAGCAACGCCGCGUGCGGAAUGACGGCCUUCGGGUUGUAAACCGCUUUCAGCAGGGGCGAAGCUUGUGGUGACGGUACCUGCAGAAGAAGCACCGGCUAACUACGUG
rnacentral:rRNA from 1 species